UAAUGGUCGUGUAACCAGUUAUGGUUAUUUACGAAUAUUAUUUGAAUAUUUGGUAAAUUAUUUGAUAACUAGUUUUCUAUUUUGAUUGCUUAUAUAUGUUGCAAUCACGAGUUUUCAAUUUUCAUAUUCUCAGAAUAAAAUAUGGAACAUUUGGGUAUUUUCUAGAUAAUUUAUGAAUAAUAUGUGAUAUUUAUAUGAAUAUUUGUGAGACUUGUGUUAUCUGGUUUAUUGAAUUGACUGCUCAUAUGUGUUCGGAUUUGAGAUAUUUCAAUUUCUAUAUGAUCA
rnacentral:lncRNA from 1 species